UAACACCAGCGCCACAAGUGGCAACCGCUUUUAUUGGGCCUAAAGCGUCCGUAGCCGGUUCAGUAAAUUUUCUGUGAAAUCGUUAGGCUUAACUUAACGGCAUGCAGAAAACACUACUGGACUAGGGACCGGGAGGCGUCAGAGGUAUUCUUGAGGGAGCGGUAAAAUGCUAUAAUCUCAGGAGGACCACCGAUGGCGAAGGCAUCUGACGAGAACGGAUCCGACGGUGAGGGUCGAAAGCUAGGGGAGCAAACCGGAUUAGAUACCCGAGUAGUCCUAGCUGUAAACGCUGCGAGCUAGGUGUUACGUAUUCUUCGGGAAUACGUAGUGUCGAAGCGAAGGUGUUAAGCUCGCCGCCUGGGAAUUAUGGUCGCAAGACUG
rnacentral:rRNA from 1 species